rnacentral:rRNA from 1 species
CCUACGGGAGGCAGCAGUGGGGAAUAUUGCACAAUGGGGGAAACCCUGAUGCAGCGACGCCGCGUGAGUGAAGAAGUAUUUCGGUACGUAAAGCUCUAUCAGCAGGGAAGAAAAUGACGGUACCUGACUAAGAAGCCCCGGCUAACUACGUGCCAGCAGCCGCGGUAAUACGUAGGGGGCAAGCGUUAUCCGGAUUUACUGGGUGUAAAGGGAGCGUAGACGGCAGCGCAAGUCUGGAGUGAAAUCCCAUGGCUUAACCAUGGAACUGCUUUGGAAACUGUGCAGCUAGAGUGCAGGAGAGGUAAGCGGAAUUCCUAGUGUAGCGGUGAAAUCCGUAGAUAUUAGGAAGAACACCAGUGGCGAAGGCGGCUUACUGGACUGUAACUGACGUUGAGGCUCGAAAGCGUGGGGAGCAAACAGGAUUAGAUACCCUUGUAGUC